AACGAACGCUGGCGGCAUGCCUAACACAUGCAAGUCGAACGAGACCUUCGGGUCUAGUGGCGCACGGGUGCGUAACGCGUGGGAACCUGCCCGUAGGUACGGAAUAACUCCCCGAAAGGGGUGCUAAUACCGGAUAAUGUCUUCGGACCAAAGAUUUAUCGCCGUUGGAUGGGCGCGCGUUGGUUUAGCUGGUUGGUAGGGUAAAAGCCUACCAAGGCGACGAUCCAUAGCUGGUCUGAGAGGAGGAUCAGCCACACUGGGACUGAGACACGGCCCAGACUCCUACGGAACGCAGCAGUGGAGAAUAUUGGACAAUGGGCGAAAGCCUGAUCCAGCAAUGCCGCGUGAGUGAUGAAGGCCUUAGGGUUGUAAAGCUCUUUUACCCGGGAUGAUAAUGACAGUACCGGGAGAAUAAGCUCCGGCUAACUCCGUG
rnacentral:rRNA from 1 species